GAUGAACGCUGGCGGCGUGCCUAAUACAUGCAAGUCGAGCGAACGGACGAGAAGCUUGCUUCUCUGAUGUUAGCGGCGGACGGGUGAGUAACACGUGGAUAACCUACCUAUAAGACUGGGAUAACUUCGGGAAACCGGAGCUAAUACCGGAUAAUAUUUUGAACCGCAUGGUUCAAAAGUGAAAGACGGUCUUGCUGUCACUUAUAGAUGGAUCCGCGCUGCAUUAGCUAGCUGGUAAGGUAACGGCUUACCAAGGCAACGAUGCAUAGCCGACCUGAGAGGGUGAUCGGCCACACUGGAACUGAGACACGGUCCAGACUCCUACGGGAGGCAGCAGUAGGGAAUCUUCCGCAAUGGGCGAAAGCCUGACGGAGCAACGCCUCGUGAGUGAUGAAGGUCUUCGGAUCGUAAAACUCUGUUAUUAGGGAAGAACAUAUGUGUAAGUAACUGUGCACAUCUUGACGGUACCUAAUCAGAAAGCCACGGCUAACUACGUG
rnacentral:rRNA from 1 species